rnacentral:rRNA from 1 species
CACCAGACUCCUACGGGAGGCAGCAGUGGGGAAUAUUGCACAAUGGGGGAAACCCUGAUGCAGCGACGCCGCGUGAGUGAAGAAGUAUUUCGGUAUGUAAAGCUCUAUCAGCAGGGAAGAAAAUGACGGUACCUGAUUAAGAAGCCCCGGCUAACUACGUGCCAGCAGUCGCGGUAAUACGUAGGGGGCAAGCGUUAUCCGGAUUUACUGGGUGUAAAGGGAGCGUAGACGGCAGCGCAAGUCUGAAGUGAAAUGCCGGGGCUUAACCCCGGAACUGCUUUGGAAACUAUGCGGCUGGAGUGCAGGAGGGGUAAGCGGAAUUCCUAGUGUAGCGGUGAAAUGCGUAGAUAUUAGGAGGAACACCGGUGGCGAAGGCGGCUUACUGGACUGUAACUGACGUUGAGGCUCGAAAGCGUGGGGAGCAAACAGGAUUAGAUACCCGAGUAC